UGCUUGCUGAAUUUUAUAUACCAGAUCCAGGUACAACAGCAUCUAAAAACAAACCAAAACAUUAGAUCUACCCUAGUUCACUAGGUCCUUUCAAUAAUAUUGUAAGAAGAGCAGAGAACCUGUAUCAGGCCCUUCUUUCAGCUUCAACACAUACCAUAACAGUUAGAUGUUAGAUCUACUUGAAUCUGGUAUUAUUAAGCUGUCAACAAAUAUUCCCAAAUAAAGUUAUUACAUAUAUCUAGUAUAAAAAGUAGUUGAAAAUCUUACAAACUUACAGAGAAAACAUUCUGCUCUUUCUAGUCUGUUUCUGAUCCGCAUGAUGACGUAAUUUGUGACGUACGGCCUUCCGUAAAAAAACUAGCUUUGGUUCCAUAAAGUAAAUUUAUAUCACUUAGUCAUCAGCGUUCGUCUUUGAAGCAAAGAUACAUUUUCAAGAUUAAAAUAUGAACGACGAAUAUUAUAAAAUUAAGGUAUUUCCCGAUUCUUUGAUGAAUACGAAACUGAAUAGCCAGGUUCCAUUUGCUCCACUUCCUGUUACAGAAGGAAAGAAACCUAGUCAGCGAGAGCUCCUUUCUAUGGUUUGUUCCAGACUUUCCUUUUGACUGAUUGUGAUCUAAUUCUUUAAAACAAUGGUUCUACGUAACGCAGCCAGGUGAAUCGAAUGGUCUUUUUAUGCUGAGUGAAAUUUAUUUGAAGUUUUACUAAAUUUUGAGAAAGCUUGUCAGGACACAAUUAGACUGAAAAAGACGUACUGAAAAACUGCCUGUAAACACAGAUAUCAUUAAAGUCAAUGGAUUACCUAGGAGCAUUCAAGCAAUUUGAUAUCAGAGACUGGCAAUUAUUAUCACUCAAUGUGGCAGAAAAACCUAAAUAAAACAUUGAAAUGUUCAAUUUCUUUGUUAAUUGCUUUUUUCUCUUGUAUAUGAAUAUCACAUGAUAUUUAUGCGAAUUUCGCACGAUUUUUACAUGAAAAACUGAUAAUUUGGAAUUCGCAUGAAUAUCAUGCGAAAUUUCAGUCACAUGAAAAUCGCAUGAAUUUCGCAUAAAUAUCGUAUGAGGACAUUCGCAUGAAUUUCGCAUGUGUGAUUUUUCGCGUGAUUUUUAUAUGAUUUUCGCAUGAAUUUCAUGCGAAAAGCAAAUCGCAUGAAAAUCAUGCGAGCCACUUUUCCCU